CGGGCCCAGCCGCUCCGCGGCAUGUGGGAUCUUCCAGGACCGGGGCACGAACCCAUGUCCCCGACAUCAGCAGGCGGACUCUCAACCACUGCGCCACCAGGGAAGCCCAGUUAUUCAUUUUCUAAAAGUUUUCCAGGGUGUUUGGAUGGUGAACGACUGUGGAAGGUAGAGAUGGUGGUUCCCUUCAGAAUAAAGGGCAGGUUACUUAUGACCUUGGAAGACAGAGUGUGUCUCGCAAUGGAGCAAAUGGCAGCAUGGGGCCAUCUGGGUUCAUUUCUGCUGUAGUAGAAACAUAGACGCCACCUCUUUACCGUAAGAAAAUCAACACCGUGGACGUGAUGACCAAUGGCAGCUGAUGCUGAGGCUCAGAGCUGGGGAGGCCACAGGACUGAUGGCGCCUGAAGAGGACGCAUCCCACGGCGGGCCGUAGCUUCCUGGCACCCACCUCUAACCGUCAUGGAAGCCUGCAGUCACCAGCUCUUUCUAUUUUUUUAAGAGAAGCUGAAAAUCUAAAUUGAAAAACUUCGGCACAAAAUUGGCACAAAAUUUCUCAAAGAUACAGAUAGAACGAGCAAAACAUGAUUUGAUUUGAAGGCGGGUUCGUUUGUAACUUCUGAGCUACCUGUUCUUUAAAAAAAAUUCCUCCCAGGUAUUUCACCUCUGGGUCUCUUCCUCAAAACCCAUAAUUUUAGUCUAUUCUGAGACAACAUCAGACAACCUGAAUCGAGGGACAGUGUAUGACAUACCUGACCAGUAAUUUUCACAAUGGUCAAGGUCAUGAUAAACAAGGAAACACAGAAAAACGGUCACAGAUUGGAAGAGACGAAGGAGACAUGAUGACUGCAUGCCAUGUGGGAUUCUGGAACAUUAAUGGAGAAAUGGGUGAAAUCUGACUAAUGUCUGGAGUGUAGCUGAUGUCAGGGUACCAAUGUUAAUUUCUUAACUUGGACAAAUGAAGCGCGGUCAGGAAAGAUGUUAUCAUUAGUGGACACUGGGCUUAGGGUAUAUGGGAAAUGUUGGCACUACAUUUGCAACUUUUCUGUAAAUCUAAAUUUAUUCCAAAAUC